UAGGGAAUCUUCCACAAUGGACGCAAGUCUGAUGGAGCAACGCCGCGUGAGUGAAGAAGGUUUUCGGAUCGUAAAGCUCUGUUGUUGGUGAAGAAGGAUAGAGGCAGUAACUGGUCUUUAUUUGACGGUAAUCAACCAGAAAGUCACGGCUAACUACGUGCCAGCAGCCGCGGUAAUACGUAGGUGGCAAGCGUUGUCCGGAUUUAUUGGGCGUAAAGCGAGCGCAGGCGGAAUGAUAAGUCUGAUGUGAAAGCCCACGGCUCAACCGUGGAACUGCAUCGGAAACUGUCAUUCUUGAGUGCAGAAGAGGAGAGUGGAAUUCCAUGUGUAGCGGUGGAAUGCGUAGAUAUAUGGAAAAACACCAGUGGCGAAGGCGGCUCUCUGGUCUGCAACUGACGCUGAGGCUCGAAAGCAUGGGUAGCGAACAGG
rnacentral:rRNA from 1 species